GUAAAAUCAAGUAAAGUUCAUUCAAAUAGAUAAAAGUAUAGUUUGAAAACAGUCUCACUGAUGUGCAGUAGUAUAAUAAUAGUCCUCAAGUGUUGCUCCGUCCGUAUGGUAGGUAGUCCAUAUAUGUGAAGACAAAAGGAGAAAAAAGCUGCCAAUGGUGAAAUAUUAUAUGUCCAGAUGUGGUAUAUAUUCAAAGGAAAGGUAUUUCACUCACAUUUGUUGGAGCUCUAACCAGCUCUAGGAGAAGAGGCACUUAGUGGUUUAAUCCCCACUAUCGGAUGUACUUAGAUGGUUGAUCCGUCUAUUCGGCUUGGAAUUCCUUUGGUGUAGGCUAGGACCUUUUACCAUUUUGAGAAAACCCCAAAGGUGAAAUGCGUAAAUGGUUUUAAUAAGUGUAUUUUAAUCAAUAAAAGUUAUUUUUGGUUACCUUUUAUACUAGGACCAAUUCUAU